GACGAACGCUGGCGGCGUGCUUAACACAUGCGAGUCGAACGGAAAGGCCCUGCUUUUGUGGGGUGCUCGAGUGGCGAACGGGUGAGUAACACGUGAGUAACCUGCCCUUGACUUUGGGAUAACUUCAGGAAACUGGGGCUAAUACCGGAUAGGAGCUCCUGCUGCAUGGUGGGGGUUGGAAAGUUUCGGCGGUUGGGGAUGGACUCGCGGCUUAUCAGCUUGUUGGUGGGGUAGUGGCUUACCAAGGCUUUGACGGGUAGCCAGCCUGAGAGGGUGACCGGCCACAUGGGGACUGAGAUACGGCCCAGACUCCUACGGGAGGCAGCAGUGGGGAAUAUUGCACAAUGGGCGGAAGCCUGAUGCAGCAACGCCGCGUGCGGGAUGACGGCCUUCGGGUUGUAAACCGCUUUCGCCUGUGACGAAGCGUGAGUGACGGUAAUGGGUAAAGAAGCACCGGCUAACUACGUG
rnacentral:rRNA from 1 species